GUGGCGCACGAGGGGCUGAGGGUCGACCGCCGAGAUCCCAGCCCGGAAGGUGAGGGUUUGACGUCUGAGCGCCGGGUUCGGAACCCGGCGCGUCGCG
rnacentral:tRNA from 1 species